ensembl:lncRNA
GGAGUGGUAAGCAGUGGUCUCAUUGUGAAGUGGGGCUGAGGAGAUUGCUGAUGGACUAGAUGUGGGAGGUGAGAAAGAGAGUUGAGGGCCGUACUGAGGUUUCUGGCCUGAGCACCGAGCAUGAAAUUGGCCGUGAACUGAGACGCCCAAGGAGCCGUAUAGGUCAUGUUAAGUUGCUAUGAUGCAGUGGCGAAGGAGGGAGUGGAUGUUUUGGGGAAGAUCCUUCUCUAUGGAAAUGUAAAUCUUCUUGGGAACUUCUCAUUGUCCUUUGCUUUAUUUCUCUCCUCUGACCUCAGGUCUAGGUGGCCCCUAAGGCCCUCUGUGAAUAUUUACCCCAUGAAGGAGAGGUCCAUCGAUUCAUUCAUUCAUUAACCAUUUCUUGCACUACUUCAUUUUGCGCGUUAUGCGAGCCUAGAAUCUAAAGAGAGAAAUCUGGAUUUGUCAGAAAUGCCCCUUGACAAGUCCCUAAGUCCCAGAAAGUGUGGCAGACAUGAUUUGCAUAUACCGAAUGCCUAGGUAUUCGGGUGUAAUGAGUGAGGGAACGCACAGCUUAUAAUUUCAGGGAGGAUCUCGUUCAGGACUUAAGACAAGCGUUCGCACUGCCCGGAACGUCUCAGCAACUGUAGAUCGCAGCUCGAAGCCUCUUCCUCCUCUUCCUGUUAGCCACUGUCUUGACUCAAAUUCUUCCUUAUUCAUUGUUUCUCUGCAGCCUCGAUGAGUCCUUCAGCAGGUGAUCCUUCAGGCCUCCUUGUGUCAGCUGCCCUGGGGCAUCUCAGACGAUUAGCCCUGAGCUAACAUCUGCCGCCAAUCCUCCUCUUUUUGCUGAGGACGACUGGCCCUGAGCUAACAUCCAUGCCCAUCUUCCUCUACUUUCUAUGCGGGACGCCUACCACAGCAUGGUGUGCCUAAGCGGUGCCAUGUCCGCACCUGGGAUCCAAACCUGCGAACCCCGGGCCGCCGAAGUGGAACGUGCGAACUUAACUGCUGCGCCACAGGGCCAGCCCCCUGCGUUUCUAACAAGUUCUCAGGUGAUGAGUAUGCUGCUGGGGGAGGAACCACCAGCACCUGGUUUGUAAAUCAUUUUAUUGGAACACAGCCAUGUCAGAGACUGAAUGACCUGCAAGCCUGAAAUCUUUGCUCUCUGGCCCUUUAUAGAGAAAGUGUGCUUCCCCAUAAUAUAUAUGUGAUCAGUGCUGAGCAUUUUCUAUUGAGUUCAUAUUUUAUUCUCAAGAGCUCUUUUAUAUGUUAAGACAUUGCUUAACAAAUUAGCCCACAAAAGUAUGGUAUGGGGGAAUAGAUGCCUAUUUUGAAGUGUUAGGGAGUAUAACUAACAUGACACUUCUUUUAAGUCUUUUGUUUUUUCUAAAAGUAAUCUGAAUUUUUUAUUCCAGAAGCAUCAGUGUUUGGUUUAAUAUGAAACAUUUUUCCUCCUUAAUCUUUGAAUAAAGCUGAUGCUACUAAAUAUGUUGUAUUUAAUCCUGCUUUCACUGUGUUUGAGAAAUACGCUACUGAGAUUUGCAAUUUUUGGUCAUAAGUUUCAAAUAUUUGUUCUAUGCUUUGAAUUCAAAUCGUCAAUCUUUUUCUUUCCCCUGUCUUCUCUACCCCAAGAUUUUAU